AUGAACGCUGGCGGCGUGCCUAAUACAUGCAAGACGAGCGAACAGACGAGGAGCUUGCUCCUCUGACGUUAGCGGCGGACGGGUGAGUAACACGUGGAUAACCUACCUAUAAGACUGGGAUAACUUCGGGAAACCGGAGCUAAUACCGGAUAAUAUAUUGAACCGCAUGGUUCAAUAGUGAAAGACGGUUUUGCUGUCACUUAUAGAUGGAUCCGCGCCACAUUAGCUAGUUGGUAAGGUAACGGCUUACCAAGGCAACGAUGCGUAGCCGACCUGAGAGGGUGAUCGGCCACACUGGAACUGAGACACGGUCCAGACUCCUACGGGAGGCAGCAGUAGGGAAUCUUCCGCAAUGGGCGAAAGCCUGACGGAGCAACGCCGCGUGAGUGAUGAAGGUCUUCGGAUCGUAAAACUCUGUUAUUAGGGAAGAACAAAUGUGUAAGUAACUAUGCACGUCUUGACGGUACCUAAUCAGAAAGCCACGGCUAACUACGUG
rnacentral:rRNA from 1 species